rnacentral:rRNA from 1 species
UAGGGAAUCUUCGGCAAUGGGGGCAACCCUGACGAGCAACGCCGCGUGAGUGAAGAAGGUUUUCGGAUCGUAAAGCUCUGUUGUAAGAGAAGAACGUGUGUGAGAGUGGAAAGUUCACACAGUGACGGUAACUUACCAGAAAGGGACGGCUAACUACGUGCCAGCAGCCGCGGUAAUACGUAGGUCCCGAGCGUUGUCCGGAUUUAUUGGGCGUAAAGCGAGCGCAGGCGGUUUAAUAAGUCUGAAGUUAAAGGCAGUGGCUUAACCAUUGUUCGCUUUGGAAACUGUUAAACUUGAGUGCAGAAGGGGAGAGUGGAAUUCCAUGUGUAGCGGUGAAAUGCGUAGAUAUAUGGAGGAACACCGGUGGCGAAAGCGGCUCUCUGGUCUGUAACUGACGCUGAGGCUCGAAAGCGUGGGGAGCAAACAGG